ensembl:lncRNA TPT1-AS1 TPT1 antisense RNA 1
GUUCAAGCGAUUCUCCUGCCUCAGCCCCCUGAGUAGCUGGGAUUACAGGCACGCGCCACCACUCCCAGCAGGAAACUGCUCAACAGUCACAUCUUGAAAGUAACUUGAGGCAACUGCAGGAGGGCUGCAUGGCGGGAAAGAAAUUGCUGAAAACAGGCUGGGUGAGCUGGCUCGUACCUGUGAUCCCAACACUUUGGGAAGUGAAGUUGGGCGGAUCACUUGAGGGUCUUACUCUGUGACCCACGCUGGAGUGCAAUGGCACCAUCACGACUUACUGAAGCCUCCACUUCCCGGGCUCAAGUGAUUCUCACACCUCAGCCUCCUGAGUAGCUGAGACCACAGGCUCCGGUAGAUUGCAAAUGACCUGCUUUCUUUCUGUUCCCGGGCGUUUGGACCCCUGUCUUGGACCGCUGUCGGAUAGUAAAUCCCAAGUAAGGUACCUGCCGUCGGCAGAUUUGAGCUUUCUUCUUGGACACCUAAUACCCAGAGUCCUCCAGGCUCCGGUAGAUUGCAAAUGACCUGCUUUCUUUCUGUUCCCGGGCGGCAUCGGACCCGUCGGAGAGUAAAUCCCAAGUAAGGUACCUGCCGUUGGCAGAUUUGAGCUUUCUUCUUGGACACCUAAUACCCACAGUCCUCCAGGCUCCGGUAGAUUGCAAAUGACCUGCUUUCUUUCUGUUCCCGGGUGGCAUCGACCCGUCGGAGAGUAAAUCCCAAGUAAGGUACCUGCCGUUGGCAGAUUUGAGCUUUCUUCUUGGACACCUAAUACCCACAGUCCUCCAGUAAAUCCCAAGCAAGGUACCUGCCGUCAGCAGAUUUGAGCUUUCUUCUUGGACACCUAAUACCCACAGUCCUCCAA